UACAGAGGGUGCAAGCGUUAAUCGGAAUUACUGGGCGUAAAGCGUGCGCAGGCGGCUUCUCAAGUCAGGGGUGAAAGCCCAGAGCUCAACUCUGGAAUUGCCUUUGAGACUGUGAGGCUUGAGUACGGGAGAGGUGAGUGGAAUUCCCAGUGUAGAGGUGAAAUUCGUAGAUAUUGGGAAGAACACCGGUGGCGAAGGCGGCUCACUGGCCCGAAACUGACGCUCAUGCACGACAGCGUGGGGAUCAAACAGG
rnacentral:rRNA from 1 species